CCUACGGGAGGCAGCAGUGGGGAAUAUUGGACAAUGGGCGAAAGCCUGAUCCAGCAACGCCGCGUGGAGGAUGAAGGUCUUCGGAUUGUAAACUCCUGUUGCCCGGGACGAAAAGCUUCGACCUAACACGUUGAGGUCUGACGGUACCGGGUGAGGAAGCCCCGGCUAACUCUGUGCCAGCAGCCGCGGUAAU
rnacentral:rRNA from 1 species